UACAGAGGGUGCGAGCGUUAAUCGGAAUUACUGGGCGUAAAGCGCGCGUAGGCGGCUUUUCAAGUCGAUUGUGAAAUCCCCGGGCUUAACCUGGGAACUGCAGUCGAGACUGUCUAGCUAGAGUAUGGGAGAGGGAAGUGGAAUUUCAGGUGCAGCGGUGAAAUGCGUAGAUAUCUGAAGGAACAUCAGUGGCGAAGGCGGCUGCCUGGCCCAAUACUGACACUCAGGUGCGACAGCGUGGGGAGUAAACAGG
rnacentral:rRNA from 1 species